AAGUCGUAACAAGGUUUCCGUAGGUGAACCUGCGGAAGGAUCAUUAACACGUAUCCGCGUAUCAACCAAUUGCGAACUUGUUUUCAUAUCUCCCUCUAUUAGCAGAAAAUGAAUUGGAAUUUGUGCACAGGGUAGAAGUGGACUCUCCUUAAACAAGAGAGUUACCUGUAACAUACACACUUAGACUUCACGGUCUAGACAAUUGUAUUUCUGUAGAGGCUAGUCUUUAACGCAUGGAUACUCACUCCUAUCGUUGCGGUAAAGGCACACUUAAUAACUUAUUUCACCCUUUUUUGCUAGUUGACUUUUAUAUGUGUAUUGUAUGCGAAAGUAUGCACUCACACGUUUAAUUUAUUUGAACGUUAAAAAUACAACUCUUAGCAAUGGAUAUCUUGGUUCUC
rnacentral:misc_RNA from 1 species